rnacentral:rRNA from 1 species
GAGGCAGCAGUAGGGAAUCUUCCGCAAUGGACGAAAGUCUGACGGAGCAACGCCGCGUGAGUGAUGAAGGCUUUCGGGUCGUAAAACUCUGUUGUUAGGGAAGAACAAGUGCUAGUUGAAUAAGCUGGCACCUUGACGGUACCUAACCAGAAAGCCACGGCUAACUACGUGCCAGCAGCCGCGGUAAUACGUAGGUGGCAAGCGUUAUCCGGAAUUAUUGGGCGUAAAGCGCGCGCAGGUGGUUUCUUAAGUCUGAUGUGAAAGCCCACGGCUCAACCGUGGAGGGUCAUUGGAAACUGGGAGACUUGAGUGCAGAAGAGGAAAGUGGAAUUCCAUGUGUAGCGGUGAAAUGCGUAGAGAUAUGGAGGAACACCAGUGGCGAAGGCGACUUUCUGGUCUGUAACUGACACUGAGGCGCGAAAGCGUGGGGAGCAAACAGGAUUAGAUACCCUGGUAGUCCACGCCGUAAACGAUGAGUGCUAAGUGUUAGAGGGUUUCCGCCCUUUAGUGCUGAAGUUAACGCAUUAAGCACUCCGCCUGGGGAGUACGGCCGCAAGGCUGAAACUCAAAGGAAUUGACGGGG